GGCAGGCUGUAGCAAACAUCCUCAGACGCAUCUUUGCAACUUUUGUAUUUACCGAGGAACAAAAAUAGCUUCAUUUGUGUCCUAAUGAGGAUGAUGAAGCCAUCAGAAUAGGACCACCCAAAGAAAAAUCCAACAGUAAACAACACCACUAGAGUUUCUCCUCUGCCACCAGUCGCACCUAGAUGCCCUCCUGGCUCUGCAGUGUAGAUAAGUCACUGAUCUCUCCCCACCUGUGAAAUGGUGCCGCCUCCCUUGAAUCACUAUCGUCUGGAUUACAGACGAUUUGUGUAAAGCACGGGAAGAAGAUUCCCACUCUUUCACGUAACUCUUCAGAUGGGGCGACAUUGGACGGAUUUUUGGAACCCAGUUAAAGGGAAGUCUAAAGAGCUUUAGACUCAGGCCCUCUGUAAAACCUGGAUCCCUGGCUGUUCAAGGGAGAAAGUGAGGUAAUACUCAAGCAAACGUUUGUUUCACCCAAGCAGGUGAGUCUGUGGUCUUGUGGAAGUUUCCACUUUAAAAAAAGACACAUUUGUGGGGCG